GUGGUGGCACAAAAUCGGAAGCCCCGACUGUUUACUAAAAACACAGCUAUCUGCAACGAUGUAAAUCAUAGUAUAGGUAGUGAGGUUUGCCCGAUGCCAUUAAUAUAAGAGAAGUGAUGGGUAACUGUUAAUUAUCGAAAAUCUGGUUAAUAGCGGUCUUAACUAUGAGGAUCCUAAGGUAGCAAAAUAAAUUGGCCAUUAAAUGUGGUCCGGUAUCAAUAAUUUAACGAUGGCUUCACUGUCUCUACAACUUGCUCAGUGAAAUUGAAUUACCCGUGCAGAUGCGGGUUGCCACCAGGGGGACGGGAAGACC
rnacentral:rRNA from 1 species